UUUGACCUCAAAUCAGGUAGGACUACCCGCUGAACUUAAGCAUAUCAAUAAGCGGAGGAAAAGAAACCAACAGGGAUUGCCUCAGUAGCGGCGAGUGAAGCGGCAAAAGCUCAAAUUUGAAAUCUGGCGUCUUUGGCGUCCGAGUUGUAAUUUGAAGAAGGUAUCUUUGGGCCCGGCUCUUGUCUAUGUUCCUUGGAACAGGACGUCACAGAGGGUGAGAAUCCCGUGCGAUGAGAUGACCCGGGUCUGUGUAAAGUUCCUUCGACGAGUCGAGUUGUU
rnacentral:rRNA from 1 species